UGGGGAAUAUUGCACAAUGGGCGCAAGCCUGAUGCAGCCAUGCCGCGUGUGUGAAGAAGGCCUUCGGGUUGUAAAGUACUUUCAGCGGGGAGGAAGGGAGUAAAGUUAAUACCUUUGCUCAUUGACGUUACCCGCAGAAGAAGCACCGGCUAACUCCGUGCCAGCAGCCGCGGUAAUACGGAGGGUGCAAGCGUUAAUCGGAAUUACUGGGCGUAAAGCGCACGCAGGCGGAUUGUUAAGUCAGAUGUGAAAUCCCCGGGCUCAACCUGGGAACUGCAUCUGAUACUGGCAAGCUUGAGUCUCGUAGAGGGAGGUAGAAUUCCGGGUGUAGCGGUGAAAUGCGUAGAGAUCUGGAGGAAUACCGGUGGCGAAGGCGGCCCCCUGGACGAAGACUGACGCUCAGGUGCGAAAGCGUGGGGAGCAAACAGG
rnacentral:rRNA from 1 species